CUACGUGCCAGCAGCCGCGGUAAUACGGAAGGUCCAGGCGUUAUCCGGAUUUAUUGGGUUUAAAGGGAGCGUAGGCGGAUUAUUAAGUCAGUGGUGAAAGACGGUGGCUCAACCAUCGUUAGCCAUUGAAACUGGUAGUCUUGAGUGCAGACAGGGAUGCUGGAACUCGUGGUGUAGCGGUGAAAUGCUUAGAUAUCACGAUGAACUCCGAUCGCGAAGGCAGGUGUCCGGGCUGCAACUGACGCUGAGGCUCGAAAGUGUGGGUAUCAAACAGGAUUAGAUACCCUGGUAGUCCACGCCGUAAACGAUGAGUGCUAGGUGUUAGACCCUUUCCGGGGUUUAGUGCCGUAGCUAACGCAUUAAGCACUCCGCCUGGGGAGUACGACCGCAAGGUUGAAACUCAAAGGAAUUGACGGGGGCCCGCACAAGCGGUGGAGCAUGUGGUUUAAUUCGAAGCAACGCGAAGAACCUUACCAGGUCUUGACAUCCCUCUGACCGCUCUAGAGAUAGAGUUUUC
rnacentral:rRNA from 1 species